GAUGACAAUUAUUUCAGUCAGCGCAGCCUGGAUUCAAUUUGCCAGUAUCUACUGUGAAAAUAGGCUUAGCUCUGCUGCAGGAGAUCAACCCGACUGUUGAAGUCUUCAAUCUGUACCUUGUAUCUGCAUGAGGAGCACCGUCUUCUGUAUUUUAGGAACCACAGUGGCUGCAUGGUUGAUCAAGUCAAGUACAUGUGAUGCCUAUUUGCUUCUAUUUGCCUGUUUGCUUCUGCGCUGUUGGCAACUGUACAUAUCCUUCCCUGAUGUAACAGUCAUCCAUGGUGCAGAUUGCAAGCUGUCAAGUUUAGAAAACUACUUGUAUUUACAGCACUUUGGACAUAACUUGUAUUCCUCGAUCCACAUAUAUGACACCAGUGUGUGAGCUACAUCGGUUUACUGAAUCUUGGACGAAAUAUUUGUCAAAUGUGUAAUGAAUGACAGUUAAGGGCAACACCUCAUUCAGUACGAGUUCUCAGCCUGUGGUCUCUCAGUAAAUGUAAAAGACUUUUAUUUGAUGGCCAAGUAGAAAAAUGAGAUGGACCAUUAAAAACAGGCGUUCCUAAAGUACAGAUUGUUGGAAUGAGGAUAUUUUAAAUGCAUUACAGAUAUGACUACAUGUAUUUUAUUUUCAUUUAGCCAUUUCAGUUGUGUCCUCCAUUUAAACCAUCUCUAUAUGUAUAACUUUCAGUGGUAAAAAUCUGUUUAACUUCAGCAACUUGACCCACUCACACAAUACUCGGUAAUAUGAUGUUCAUUAAAACCUGUAAAAUGCAACACUUUCUCAACAUGCAGUUAUGCACUUAACCAUGAUAGCUACUGCACAUGCAGUACUUCACACACAAGGCCAAGUAAAAAUAAAACACUUGAUCGUCUGCGUAUUUUCAAAGAGGGUGAGGGUUUUUUUUUUUUUAUUAAAAAAAGGCGACUAAUAUCCAGAUAUAGCUUAAACAAUAUGUGCCUUAAAAAGGAAGAGGCUAUUUUUUCUGGAUAGUUCUGGGUAGAUGCCUAAUAGAUGACUGCAAAACCUGCUUUGAAUUGACGAGCUGAAUUGAGGGCCAACAUGUACCAUUUAGUAAGUAAUUUAUAUACAACAGUUAAUUCACAAUCCACGUUGUCCAUUGGCUUACACAAUUCUUCCGUAGAAUAAAGCUUAAUAAAGCGGAGUUCGAAAAGCAUGGUUCAAACCAUCAAUGCUUGUGUCUAGUAUCAAACUCGUAAUUGGAAAGUUGUUUUCUGACCACGUCAAACAGGUACGAUAUGGUACCUGUAUUUUUUCUCUUCAGGCAAAUAUAAACUUGCUUCUGUCAAUAGAGGGCGGUGUUUACUUUCCAUCGUUACA